UUGUGUUGCUGGUUCCUUCUGUAGAAGCCACAUUCCAAACAAACACAAAACCCCACAGGCCUCUCUAUCCCUACAGAGCAUUCCCCUUGAGCUUGCUGUCUGGUGUAUAGAUUCCAACCCAACUAAUGACCUAAACACAAGUGAACCCUGAACACGGGGAUGGUGGUGUUCGAUUAGUUUCUCAUUCCUCACCAAAUAAUCUCUGCUGCUUUUGAACUCUUUCAUCCAACUUUUUUUUAUUUAGUGUAAUUCCUCCCUGUUAACUAUUCUCCUCCCUUCCCCUCAAAACCAAUCAACCAAUCCUGGACUCCACACUCAAAAUCUUGAGGCUAUUUUGGAGUGAAACCCAAUAUUAAAACUUCUUCCCAAUUUAUUUGCUUUAACUUUUUUGUCCUUUUGGACACUACGUGGGUGGAUCUGUCAACCAGGCUAUCGCCAUCUGGUCUAGAACCAGCUGCAGUUAAAAGGAAAGUUCUAAUUUAAGUGUUCAGCUUCUGGAACAUUGUAGAAGGGCAUCUAUUGUCUUUCAAGGAUGUGAAUCAAAGAGUCACAGCUCCUUGUAUAUAAUGUAGGGGAGAGAUGUGUUCUGAUAAGGCUGUUAUCCGAGAUUUGUUUAAUGGAGCCAAAAUAUUCUAGCUGAAUGGAUGUUGGGAGUGGAGAAAAGAGGCCUCCAUUCACUGUACAACUAAAGAUAACAUCAAUGGAGUCUGGAAUGGGUCUGCCCCUGAAUGCAAAGGCAUUUGUGAUUCUCCUCCAAGGUUGAGUUUUGCUGAGCUGCCUGGGGUAGUGAACAAUUCCUAUCCUGCUGGGACCCAACUGAAAUACUCCUGUUGCCCAGGAUAUGUUUUGCGCUCUGGAAAGUCUCCUGUAGUUACAUGUCUUGCAAAUUCAACAUGGUCAGUAGACCCUGAGUUUUGUGUAGGUGAGUGUCUUUGUUGCUUUUCCAUUUCAAUUGAUAUGCCAGCUAUCUUAACACAGUUAGGAAUCGCUCUUCUAUUGGGUAAGUGGUUCACAGUUCAACACUGGUAUCCAUAGACACUUUCUAAAUACAUUUUGGACAGUUCUUUGUUAUAUUAGUAGUUGACUUUAAAAAUUGUAGGUUGCUUUAAGAGCAGCUAAAAUACAAAAUUCCAGUGACUGCAGCCUGCAACCGUAUGUUAUUAGCUUGGGACUUGUCUACAUUUCUUCUCCUCUUGGAUACACUUGCAACGUUGUCUGUGACCAAGCUGCAUACUAGACAUUUGUAUUUUUUCCCCACAGUUUUGUUAUAGCUUUUAUUGCUACUUCUUGUACGUGUUCUGCUGUGUGUUCAUUUCCUGAUGCAUCAGUUGUUUCUGUAAGGAAGACAUUCCCUUCUUCUAUUGUCACACAAGUGCAUACAACAGGAUCAUUGUGGACAUUGCUCACCCAUCAAGACUCCGGUUAACAAUUUUAACCUCUAGACCUUUUGCACGCUGCUCAAUUUCUCUUUUAUACACUUUGUCCAGCAAUUUGCCUGUGACAUCUGCUCUGUUGUGUGGACUUUAUCCUGGUCUUAAUGACUGAACCAUGUUAAUGAAGUGUGGGUUC
rnacentral:lncRNA from 1 species